GAGUUCGUUGCGAGCGGCGCGGUCCUCGGGAGGCGCUCGCGCUGCCUUGUGGGCGCCCGCAAGCCAGGAAGGAGGCCAUGGACGGGGCCAGGCGAGCUAGUGAGCCCUUGCMGGUGGAGGGAACCUGCAGUCCUUCCCGUGGAACCGCGCAGCCUCAGUCCACAUUGACACUUCACACGGAGGCCAAGAACACACAGAUACUACGCGGACAACUCAGGGUAAAGAAGGCUUCUCAGAAUGCCUUAGAAUGUCAGGGAUGCGGAAAGCCAUUAUCUGACCCUGACCUUGGACAGACUGAGGGGCACCGAGUGAGGCCGUGGUCGUGCUGGCAUCCUUAGUUUGGUCUCUGUCUAGAGGACCAGGACACCCCUUAUUGGGAGUGGCAGCUUGGUAAGUUAAUGGUAGGCAACUCCCAGUUUUUCUGCCUAAGCCAAAAGGGCUUUCAGCUUCAGCAUGCUGCAGCCAACGCACAGGGCUGCAGAAAUGUGAUGCCCUUGAGCCUCUGCAGUCACACAGUAUAUUCGCUACUUUGUACUGUAGCAGUACCCCAUGUGCUACCUGGGGACAGCAGUGUGUGGUAUGUGGAUUUCAGAGAUGGAAAUGAGACUUGUGUUCCACAAAAUUAGUGAAAUAAAGAUCUCAGGAGUUGGACCUCCUGAAGCUGAAGCCCUUGGCACCUCCCUGAGUGCCUAGUGCUUAGUCUUCAACUGAUGUCUAGUGCCUUCUCUGGGGCCGAGGCUGAGGCUGAGGCUGAGGCUGACCGGGGGACACUGGGGUGGCCUGUUACUCACUUUCUGUCAGCUGUGCAGCCACUAGGCAAAAUCUUCAUGGAACUAGAUGUACACAAAUCAGUGACUUCAGCUAGUCAUCAGGAGAGCCAGUGAGGCCAUCAGAUGGAGGGAACCUGCAGUCCUUGUCCGUGGAACCGCGCAGGAAAAGGGUGGGCYGUCAGCAGCAGCAGCCUGAGGGGACACACGGUGCUGGGGCUUCCAGGAGCUGCAGCGUGGAGCUCAGGUGCCCUGGUGCCCUUGGUAAGAGCAGGCUGGGGGUCUGCCCCAGCACCCGGCCUGGAGGCCUCAGCCAGCARGGUCCAUUGCCUUCACAUUCAGGUGCCCACUAACAACGCAGGUUCCCAGGUCUGUCCAGAMCAGACGCCUGUGAAGAGGAGGCUGGCUCUGCAUUUAUACCAAUUUUUAUUCACAAUAAAUUUUGUAGAUUUCUUUUAUAAAAGCAUUAAAGUCUGGACAAUCCAGAUUUUACAGUGACUGGAGUAAUGAAAUAGCUACACAUUUGAAA